rnacentral:rRNA from 1 species
GUAGGUGGCAAGCGUUGUCCGGAAUUAUUGGGCGUAAAGCGCGCGCAGGCGGUUCUUUAAGUCUGAUGUGAAAGCCCACGGCUCAACCGUGGAGGGUCAUUGGAAACUGGAGAACUUGAGUACAGAAGAGGAAAGCGGAAUUCCACGUGUAGCGGUGAAAUGCGUAGGGAUGUGGAGGAACACCAGUGGCGAAGGCGGCUUUCUGGUCUGUAACUGACGCUGAGGCGCGAAAGCGUGGGGAGCAAACAGGAUUAGAUACCCUGGUAGUCCACGCCGUAAACGAUGAGUGCUAAGUGUUAGGGGGUUUCCGCCCCCCUUAGUGCUGCAGCUAACGCAUUAAGCACUCCGCCUGGGAGUACGACCGCAAGGUUG